rnacentral:rRNA from 1 species
AACGAACGUUAGCGGCGCGCUUAACACAUGCAAGUCGUGCGAGAAAGGGCUUCGGCCCCGGUAAAGCGGCGCACGGGUGAGUAACACGUAGGUAAUCUACCCCGAGGUGGUGGAUAACCUUCCGAAAGGAGGGCUAAUACAGCAUAAGACCACGGUUCCGGAGGCGGGAUUGAGGUCAAAGCCGGCCUCUUCAUGAAAGCUGGCGCCAUGGGAUGAGCCUGCGGCCCAUCAGGUAGUUGGUAGGGUAAUGGCCUACCAAGCCUAAGACGGGUAGCUGGUAUGAGAGGAUGAUCAGCCACACUGGAACUGAGACACGGUCCAGACUCCUACGGGAGGCAGCAGUGGGGAAUCUUGCGCAAUGGGCGAAAGCCUGACGCGGCGACGCCGCGUGAGUGAUGAAGGCCCUCGGGUUGUAAAGCUCUGUGGAGGGGGACGAAUAAGUGUUGGCUAAUAUCCAGCAUGAUGACGGUACCCCUUUAGCAAGCACCGGCUAACUCUGUGCCAGCAGCCGCUCGUAACAC